CUACGGGGUGCUGCAGUGGGGAAUUUUGGACAAUGGGCGAAAGCCUGAUCCAGCCAUGCCGCGUGAGUGAAGAAGGCCUUCGGGUUGUAAAGCUCUUUCAGGUGGAAAGAAAUGGCCUGCUCUAACAUAGCGGGUCGAUGACGGUACCACCAGAAGAAGCACCGGCUAACUACGUGCCAGCAGCCGCGGUAAUACGUAGGGUGCGAGCGUUAAUCGGAAUUACUGGGCGUAAAGCGUGCGCAGGCGGUUGUGUAAGACAGGUGUGAAAUCCCCGGGCUUAACCUGGGAACUGCGCUUGUGACUGCACAGCUAGAGUACGGCAGAGGGGGGUGGAAUUCCACGUGUAGCAGUGAAAUGCGUAGAGAUGUGGAGGAACACCGAUGGCGAAGGCAGCCCCCUGGGCCUGUACUGACGCUCAUGCACGAAAGCGUGGGGAGCAAACAGGAUUAGAUACCCGCGUAGUC
rnacentral:rRNA from 1 species